CGGGCAUCAUCCCACAGCAUAUUUAAUACUUAUCGCUAACGCUGCAACUGGUAGUAGCAAGUGCCAACCGCCCGACACGCUACCGGCCUAGCCGGUAAAACCAUCGUGAAGUCCGUGGCGGAGGAUAUAAGUUGACUUGCGUCGACAUAUCCUCACCGUCGGUGGUCUUAUCAAACUCAUUUUUAACCAGGGAAGAAGAAAGUGACGCAGGAUUAGUUAAGGAGUCAAAUCAUAUAAAGUAAAGCGAGAAUGGCGGAGGUGAGAGGAGGGAACACGUGGACGGAGGACCUUGCGAGUCUGGUGGAGGACACCGGGAUAAGAUAUGCUGCUGUGACUACCGCCGGGGAUUCUAUUGGGUUUUCGGCGCCCGCAUUUAAGAAAUCGGGAUUUGUCGGAGAUUACGGCGGCGAGGAGGAAGCGAAAACGGAGAGCUUCAAGGAGCAGGUGACGGGGUUUUUGAAAUCAUGGGGGGAAAUGCUGCUGGAUUUAGGGAAAGGGUGCAAGGAUAUUGUGGAGCAGAGUUUGAUCACUGAGGAUUCCUUCAUAGUGCGAAAAGUUGGAAAGCCAAUGACUAAGGUAUCAGACCGAUUCAAGAUUUUGAAUGAGUUCUUGCCUGAGGAUCGCGACCCAGCCCACGCCUGGCCUGUGAUAUUCUUCGUUUUUAUACUCGCGCUUGCUGUGCUGAGUGUAAAUACCACACAUGAUACCUCAGUCCCAGCAGUAAAAAGAGUGCGUAUACAUCCUCCUAGUGCUAGUCGCAUUCUGCUUCCAGAUGGUAGACACAUGGCUUAUCAUGAAAAUGGUGUCCCUGCCUACAGAGCAAGAUUUUCCAUGAUUGCUCCACAUUCUUUUAUUUCUUCUCGACUUGCAGGUAUACCUGGAGUUAAAACAUCACUACUCGAAGAGUUUGGUGUUCGCUUGGUCACAUAUGACCUUCCUGGUUUUGGGGAGAGUGAUCCUUAUCCCGGCAGAAAUCUUAAUUCAUCAGCCCUUGAUAUGCUCCACCUAGCAAAUGCUAUUGGUAUCAAUAACAAGUUUUGGGUGCUGGGUUACUCAAGUGGAAGCAUGCAUGCUUGGGCCACACUCAAAUACAUCCCUGAUAGAAUUGCUGGUGCUGUGAUGAUUGCGCCUAUGAUUAAUCCAUAUGAGCUGGGUAUGACAAAAGAAGAGAUGAGGAGAACAUGGGAACAAUGGCCAUCAAAGAGGAAAUUAAUGUACUUCUUAGCUCGGAAAUUUCCAAAAUUUCUCUCUUAUUUUUAUCGCCAAAGCUUCCUAUCUGGUUUUCAUGGUCGAAUUGAUAAGUGGAUGUCUCUGUCACUGGGAAGGAAGGAUGAACUUCUGAUCAAGGAUCCAGCAUUUAUAGAAUUUUGGCAUAGGGAUGUGGAGGAGUCAAUCCGCCAAGGGAUUGCAAAACCAUUCAUUGAGGAAGCUGUACUACAGGUGUCAAAUUGGGGUUUCAGCUUGGCAGAUCUGCAUGUGCAGAGGAAGUGUCAGAAGAAAGGCAUUCUCCUUUGGCUUAGAUCCAUGUACAGUCAGGCAGAAUGUGAAUUGGCUGGAUUUCUUGGUCCAAUUCACGUAUGGCAGAAUCUGCUGUCACAAGAACAUCAGAUUUUCCUCAACCAUGUGAACACUGCAUGUGCUCUCUGCCAUAACAGAUGAAUGAUAAUCGACAUGACAAGUGCAGAAAGUUUAGUGUUAACAUUUUUUUAUUGUGAAAUUAUUUGACAAUGAUGAAUUAGGUUGGACUUUGGAGCUCUUUCUUCUCUUCUUCCUUUUUUCCCUUAUUGUCAAAUGUAUGGUCAAAACCAAAAUCCUCUGAUCUUGUUGUCUCAAUUUGUAUUUGUGAUCCAUGGCAAAGCAGCUUAGCUGUGCGCCAGAAUUUGUAACGAUUACAAUAUUGAUAUGGUCAUUGUUAUUCUGUUGUUUAAUUAAUAGACUUAUUUCCGUUGAUUCUGAACAGGGGAUGGAUGACCAAUUAGCGCCACCAUCAAUGACUGACUACAUAAGCCGGGUUCUACCAGGUGUAUUCUUGCAUAAGCUUCCAAAUGAAGGCCACUUUUCCUUUUUCUUUUUCUGUGAUGAAUGCCAUAGGCAGAUAUUCUCAGCUCUUUUUGGAGGUGCGAUAGGUCCGCUUGACAAGAUGGUGAAAAUGAAUGAAACUUCAUUUGAAGGAGAAAUGGUCGAUGUAUCAUCCUUGGCGGAUUCUGCUACAGGAGAUAUGUGACUGUAGAUAUACUCUCUUUUUUUUUUGGCCAAUUCCUGAUGUAAAUAGUACCAUAGCCACAGGCUGCUCCUGAGCAUAAGAUGAAAUUCUGAGGUAUUAUUCUGCUUCAAAAUUUUUGGAGGAUAGGUACAUUUUGAGGAAAGCAGUUGAAAGCAAAAAUUUCAAUGAAGGUUCUCCAUUUCUUGAUGUAGGUGGAUUCUCACAAGGCUUAUGAUGCAAUCUUUAUUAACACUUCACCUAUAUAGGACAGAGUGGCUGCAUUCUUUCAUGAUUAUA
rnacentral:misc_RNA from 1 species